GAAUACUCACAAUUUACUCAUUGGCUUAGUUUUCAGACGAGAGAGUGUUGUUCUUUGUUUGCUUCUCUGUAAAAGAAGGUAUGGCUCUCCACGGUAUGCUGGGGAUUUUUGUCCUCUCUGUAGAGCGCAUUUCGGUUGCAUUAAAUGAGGUCAAAGAGCUGAGUCAGGAUCUUGUGCAGAGAUUACAGGUAGUUGCAUAUAGGCCUUUUUUUCAUUUCGUGCUGUUAUGUUUCCAUUCAUGAGCUACCUUUAUAAUACAGGUAAGUUGUGCUGAAUAUUUCUUUCAUCACAUUGUCUGCAAUAUUUAAUACCAGCUUUAGGGCAGGUGUCCUGUAGUAGCAUAUACCAUACGUGAUCUCGUAGAUUUAGUGUUGUAAAGUAUUGUUUUAAGACUGUUUAAAUCUGUUGUUCAAUAUGUUCUUAUUGCUGUCUACAGCGCAAAAGGCAUACACAGUUAUUUGGUCACACCUUAAAUGUGAUCUUGUAAGGCUUGCACUUAGUGCAGAUGCAGACAUCUUCUUCAGACAUUAAAAUACCCUGUGACAUUCAGUGUUCUCAAAGGGUUCUACUAGACACCUUGUUUUUAAAAAGUGUUUCUUUCUGUUCCUAGGCACUGUACAGACAUUGUGUGCUGUGUGAUCUUCAUAGUCGUCAUUCUGGGUUACAUUGCAUUAGGAGUUGUGGGUAAGUACAGCAGGUGCAGCGGUGCCAGUUCCUCGCUCCUUUGUGUCUGUCCUCUCAGACAGUGUGGUUAUGGUGAUGUGAGACAACGAAGUGGUCAUAUUCCCUGCUCUGCAUAUGCAGUGGUUUCCUGCUGGACAUGAGGCAUCUGAGCAGCCUUCUCUUGCAAAUCUUAUGAAAUGCUGCUUAGAGCUAGAACCUGUUCCUGGAACCAGAUACUGAAUUUGUAGCUGGUGACUUUUUCUACCUUUCUUACAGAGAAGAUUUGAAUUUUCAGUCUAGAAACAUUUAGUCCAGCUCCAGAUCCACAUGGCCCCUGCUUUUCAUCUGUGUUCGUACUGUGCUUCAGCCAUUCUUUUUACUCUAAUUUAUUUCUAAGUAAAAGAUGAGAUCAGCUUUGGCCCAGGUCCAGGGGCCAGCCAUGUACAAAAUACAUGAGAGUCAACGAAGUUCACAUUAAGAGAAAAUAGAUUCUGAAUCAAUCCUUACUCAAAAAUUAUGCUUUAUUAUGGAAAGGAAAAGUAGAUUUCUGCUAUUUCUUGAAAAUGUGUGAAUGCUGCUCUGAAUCCCUGUUUAGUUUGGCUUGAGAAAUAAGCAAUAAAUGCAGGUUCAUCACACAA
rnacentral:lncRNA from 1 species